rnacentral:tRNA from 1 species
UGGGCGGUAGGUCAGUGGCAGAGCUGCCGCUUCAUAUGCGGGAAUAUCUAGGUUCGAUUCCCUGCUGCCUAC